rnacentral:rRNA from 1 species
GAUCAUGGCUCAGGAUGAACGCUGGCGGCGUGCUUAACACAUGCAAGUCGAGCGAAGCACUCUGCUUUGAUUCUUUCGGGAUGAAGAGCAUUGUGACUGAGCGGCGGACGGGUGAGUAACGCGUGGGUAACCUGCCUCAUACGAGGGGGAUAACAGUUAGAAAUGGCUGCUAAUACCGCAUAAGACCACAGCACCGCAUGGUGCGAGGGUAAAACUCCGGUGGU